AGGCUGCCAAGCUUGCAAGCUCAGGAGGUAAAACUCUCGUUCUGGAAAACCAAUCAGUCUCAAAAAACGGCGUACAGCUAUCUGCUUCUCCACCUCAUAAACGGAAUGUUGCCAUAAUAACUCAGAAAUUGAUCCAACAAGUGGAACUUGCAUAUCCUGGAAAGCCGUAGCUCGAUCACGAAUAAUAUGAUUCACAUCUU
rnacentral:rRNA from 1 species